rnacentral:rRNA from 1 species
UACAGAGGGUGCGAGCGUUAAUCGGAAUUACUGGGCGUAAAGCGUGCGUAGACGGUUAUUUAAGUCGGGUGUGAAAGCCCCGGGCUCAACCUGGGAAUUGCAUUCGAGACUGAAUAGCUAGGGUACGGUAGAGGGAAGCGGAAUUUCCGGUGUAGCGGUGAAAUGCGUAGAUAUCUGGAGGAACACCGGUGGCGAAGGCGGCAUCCUGGACCAAUACUGACACUGAGGAGCGAAAGCCAGGGGAGCAAACGGG